rnacentral:rRNA from 1 species
UGAGAAGGUACCACAUCUAAGGAAGGCAGCAGGCGCGCAAAUUACCCAAUCCUGAUUCAGGGAGGUAGUCGACAAUAAAUAACAAUCCAGGACUUCGGUCUUGGAAUUGGAAUGAGACCAAUUUAAAUCUCUUAUCGAGGAACAAUUGGAGGGCAAGUCUGGUGCCAGCAGCCGCGGUAAUUCCAGCUCCAAUAGCGUAUAUCAAAGUUGUUGCAGGUUAAAUAGCUCGUAGUUGAAUCUUGGGGGCUGGUUUUGGCGGUACGCGUCUUUGACGUGUACUGUCGGCCGGUUCUUUUACUUGUGGGGAACGUAUGUUGCCUUUGCGGGGUGUGUUACGGGAACAUGGCGUUACUUUGCAAAAAUUU